CAAAUCCAAAAUCACAACACCGCUGUCUCUCAUCUCUGCCCUUUCAAAUACGCAGACCAGAAAAUCCAUUUGACAAAAUGGAAGCCCUAAUUUGGUAGAAGCCUGAUUCAGUGAUUCCUACAAAUUUUCAAGUAGGAAACUCUAAAAUCGAAUGCUUUCCAAUUACUAUUCAGGAACGAGUGGAUGCUUAAUGCAGCCUCAUUAUCAGGGAGACCAACACCACGCGACUUCCUUCCGGAAGAUGAUAGGUCUGCCAGGAAGCCUCAGCCGCAUCAAAAUUGGCAAGGCUACUGAAGAUAGCGAGAAGAAGAUUCAAAUGACUAGCCAGUCUUCACCAAUGUAGCCAUGUAACCAGGCUAUGAAUGAUCUAGUUAAGGAACCUGACCAUUUUUGAAGGAUGCAUUUAAGAAUAGAGAAUAUCAACGAGGAAGAACUGCUAAAGGGUUCAACAUGUAAGAAUGUCUUAUUCAUAUAAUUUUUAUACUUCUGCUGAUUAAGAUUUGUGAUCAUUUUGUACAUUUUGGUCAUGAAGGCAACAAAUGUUCACUGUACUUUGCAAAAUGCUGUUAUCCCAAGCUCUUGUUCUGUUGGCAUACAAACACAAUACCUUUUUUAGACUCUGUUUAUUUUGUGAAAAAUAAUUUAUAUAUAAAAAGUAUUUUUCACUUAUCCCCGUUGUUUGAGCCAAAUUAGAAAACAUCAUACUGUUCUGCAACCUGAAUGGCCUGCCUUUUUUUUUUUUUUUUUUUUUUU
rnacentral:misc_RNA from 1 species